rnacentral:rRNA from 1 species
AGAUUACCCGCUGAACU